CAGCAGCCGCGGGAAUACAGAGGGUGCAAGCGUUAAUCGGAAUUACUGGGCGUAAAGCGCGCGUAGGUGGUUUGUUAAGUUGGAUGUGAAAUCCCCGGGCUCAACCUGGGAACUGCAUUCAAAACUGACUGACUAGAGUAUGGUAGAGGGUGGUGGAAUUUCCUGUGUAGCGGUGAAAUGCGUAGAUAUAGGAAGGAACACCAGUGGCGAAGGCGACCACCUGGACUAAUACUGACACUGAGGUGCGAAAGCGUGGGGAGCAAACAGGAUUAGAUACCCCCGUAGUCCCUGUCUCUUAUAA
rnacentral:rRNA from 1 species